CAGAGCUUGGGUGGCUGGGUAUUUCAAAGUACUCUACCUCUACUUCAGGUUUCAGGUUCCCCUGAAUCAAGUGUGGACAGUCAUGGACACUGGUUGCCUGGUCUGUGAGAUGGGCAGUAGGAAGAUGUGAAAUUGUCUUGAGAUGGAGAGACUUUUUCCAGGAUGUACAUUCACGUACACUGGAUGGUGACUGCAGAUACGUUUCCUGAACUUGCAUGACUGCGGGAACGAGGUGGCCACGUGAGGGCAAGGAACAGAUCGGGUCCGGCCAAGGGCAAGUCCCAGCACACGCGCUCUUCAGCGUCGCCACACAGCUGACCCGGGCCCGCGUGGG
rnacentral:lncRNA from 1 species